rnacentral:rRNA from 1 species
GACGAACGCUGGCGGCGUGCUUAACACAUGCAAGUCGAACGGAAAGGCCCUGCUUUUGUUGGGUUCUCGAUUGGCGAACGCGUGAGUAACACGUGAGUAACCUGCCCUUGUCUUUGGGAUAACUUCAGGAAACUGGGGCUAAUACCCGAUAGGAUCUCUUGCUGCAUGGUGUUCGUUGGAAAGUUUCGGCGGUUGGGGAUGGUCUCGCAGCUUAUCAGCUUGUUGGUGGGGUAGUGGCUUACCAAGGGUUUGACGGGUAGCCGGCCUGAGAGGGUUAACGGCCACAUUGGGACUGAGAGACGGACCAGAAUGCUACGGGAGGCAGCAGGGGAGAAUAUUGCACAAUGGGCGGAAGCCUGAUGCAGCAACGCCGCGUGCGGGAUGACGGCCUUCGGGUUGUAAACCGCUUUCGCCUGUGACGAAGCGUGAGUGACGGUAAUGGGUAAAGAAGCACCGGCUAACUACGUG